rnacentral:tRNA from 9 species
CGUCGCGUGGCUCAGUUUGGUAGAGCGCUGCGUUCGGGACGCAGAGGUCGCAAGUUCGAAUCUUGUCGCGACGACUA